rfam:Triticum aestivum genome assembly, contig: Triticum_aestivum_CS42_TGACv1_scaffold_434036_5DL
UUACUACUCGCUCCAUCCCCAAUUUCUUGUCUUACAAUUGUCUAGAUACGGAUGUGUCUAAUCACGUUUUAGUGUUAGAUACAUCCGUAUCUAGACAAAUCUAAGACAAGAAUUGUGGGACGGAGGUAAUAUGUA